rnacentral:rRNA from 1 species
GAUUGAACGCUGGCGGCAUGCCUUACACAUGCAAGUCGAACGGCAGCACGGGGGCAACCCUGGUGGCGAGUGGCGAACGGGUGAGUAAUGCAUCGGAACGUGCCCCGUAGCGGGGGAUAACCAGUCGAAAGACUGGCUAAUACCGCAUACGCUCCACGGAGGAAAGCAGGGGAUCGCAAGACCUUGCACUAUGGGAGCGGCCGAUGCCCGAUUAGCUAGUUGGGAGGUAAAGGCUCACCAAGGCGACGAUCGGUAGCUGGUUUGAGAGAACGACCAGCCACACUGGGACUGAGACACGGCCCAGACUCCUACGGGAGGCAGCAGUGGGGAAUUUUGGACAAUGGGCGCAAGCCUGAUCCAGCCAUGCCGCGUGCGGGAUGAAGGCCUCGGUUGUAA